UGCUGACCAGGUGCUUGCACUAAGUUCGGCAUCAAUAUGGUGACCUCCUGGGAGCGGUGGGGCCACCAAGUUGCCUAAGGAUGGCUGAACUGGCCCAGGUCAGAAACGGAGCAGGUCAGAAUUCCUGCACUGACCAGUAGUGGGACUGUGCCUGGGCG
rnacentral:SRP_RNA from 1 species